GGAGGAAAAGAAACUAACAAGGAUUCCCCUAGUAACUGCGAGUGAAGCGGGAAAAGCUCAAAUUUGAAAUCUGGCGGUUCCGCCGUCCGAGUUGUAUUCUGGAGAAGCGUUUUCCGUGCYGGACCGUGUACAAGUCCCUUGGAACAGGGCGUCGUAGAGGGUGAGAAUCCCGUCUUUGACACGGACCCCCGGUGCUAUGCGAUGCGCUCUCGAAGAGUCGAVUUGUUUGGGAAUGCAGCUCAAAAUGGGUGGUAAAUUCCAUCUAAAGCUAAAUAUUGGCGAGAGACCGAUAGCGAACAAGUACCGUGAGGGAAAGAUGAAAAGCACUUUGGAAAGAGAGUAAAACAGUACGUGAAAUUGUUGAAAGGGAAACGCUUGAAGUCAGUCGCGUCUGCCGGAACUCAGCCUUGCUUCUGCUUGGUGCACUUUCCGGUUCGACGGGCCAGCAUCGGUUUCGAGCGGCGGACACUGGCGAGGGGAAGGUGGCAGCUCCGGCUGUGUUAUAGCCCUUUGUCGCAAACGUCGCCCGGGACCGAGGAAUCCGGCGCAAGCCUGGGAUGCUGGCGUAAUGGCUUUAAACGACCCGUCUUGAAACACGGACCAAGGAGUGCUACGUGCUCGCGAGUGUUUGGGUGGAAAACCCGGACGCGCAAUGAAAGUGAAAGUCGAUACCCUCGCGGGGGCACCGACGCCCGAGCCUGAUGUUUUCGGAAGGCCUUGCGGUAGAGCGAGUGCGUUGCGACCCGAAAGAUGGUGAACUAUUCCUGAGGAGGGCGAAGCCAGAGGAAACUCUGGUGGAGGCUCGUAGCGGUUCUGACGUGCAAAUCGAUCGCAGGACUUGGGUGUAGGG
rnacentral:rRNA from 1 species